rnacentral:misc_RNA from 1 species
UCGACUGUAUGCUGGUAAUC